UUUUGUGGAUGAUGAGAAUCAUAAAAAUUAUCACAGUUAUCCCUGUCUGAGACUUCUGUGCUGAAUAUUGUGAUCUGACACACAA